GAUGAACGCUGGCGGCGUGCCUAAUACAUGCAAGUCGAGCGACGCGGGGGAGGGUGAGUAACACGUGGAUAAACUCCUAUAAGACUGGGAUAACUUCCGGAAAACGGAGCUAAACCGGAUAAUUAGUGAUGGAUGCGCGCUGCAUUAGCUGGUUGGUAAGGUAACGGCUGACCAAGGCAACGACGCAUAGCAGACCUGAGAGGUUGAUCGGCCACACAGGAACUGAGAAACGGUCCAGAAUCCUACGGGAGGCAGCAGUAGGGAAUCUUCGGCAAUGGGCGAAAGCCUGACGGAGCAACGCCGCGUGAGUGAUGAAGGCCUUCGGAUUGUAAAGCUCUGUUAGUAGGGAAGCGGUAUCUAAUCAGAAAGCCACGGCUAACUACGUGCCAGCAGCCGCGGUAAUAC
rnacentral:rRNA from 1 species